rnacentral:rRNA from 1 species
UACGUAGGCAGCGAGCGUUGUUCGGAGUUACUGGGCGUAAAGGGUGUGUAGGCGGUUGUUUAAGUUUGGUGUGAAAUCUCCCGGCUCAACUGGGAGGGUGCGCCGAAUACUGAAUGACUUGGAGUGCGGGAGAGGUGAGUGGAAUUCCUGGUGUAGCGGUGAAAUGCGUAGAUAUCAGGAGGAACACCGGUGGCGAAGGCGGCAUCCUGGACCGGUAUUGACGCUGAUGCGCGAAAGCCAGGGGAGCAAACGGG